rnacentral:rRNA from 1 species
AGUGAACGCUGGCGGUAGGCCUAACACAUGCAAGUCGAACGGCAGCACAGUAAGAGCUUGCUCUUACGGGUGGCGAGUGGCGGACGGGUGAGGAAUACAUCGGAAUCUACUUUUUCGUGGGGGAUAACGUAGGGAAACUUACGCUAAUACCGCAUACGACCUACGGGUGAAAGCAGGGGAUCUUCGGACCUUGCGCGAUUGAAUGAGCCGAUGUCGGAUUAGCUAGUUGGCGGGGUAAAGGCCCACCAAGGCGACGAUCCGUAGCUGGUCUGGGAGGAUGAUCAGCCACACUGGACCUGAGACACGGUCCAGACUCCUACGGGAGGCAGCAGUGGGGAAUAUUGGACAAUGGGCGCAAGCCUGAUCCAGCCAUACCGCGUGGGUGAAGAAGGCCUUCGGGUUGUAAAGCCCUUUUGUUGGGAAAGAAAAGCAGCAGGUUAAUACCCCGCUGUUCUGACGGUACCCAAAGAAUAAACACCGGCUAACUUCGU